rnacentral:lncRNA from 1 species
AGCGGGCAGGAAUUAUCACGGAAGUGACCGAGCCAACAGACUGGGGAAGCAGCUUGUCCUUGCCGACAUGCUCUCGAGAGCCACAAGCAGACAAGCGGACGGAACCGAAAGCGAUGACGUAGAAGUCCACGCGGACGACACCGAUGGAGGGCGCCCCGUCACCUGCCGAGGUGUUACAAGGAAGACGAUUUCAAACGACGCUACCGGAUGCCCGGGCCGUUCCAGAACUUAUGGUCCGAAAGCAUCGCCAGAGCAACGCCCGAAGGAGAACACUAGCGCCACUGGACACAGGCGACACCGUCCGAGUUAAGACAGGGUCAUGGGCUACCAAAGCACAAGUUCUCGAGCCCUGCAACACUCUCAGGUCGUACCACGUAGUCACAUAGGAAGGAAGAGUGCUCCGC